rnacentral:misc_RNA from 1 species
UCGAUUAUGAGAUUGACUGGCAAGGUGAAGGCUGUCGCUGGCUCCCCUUGGGGGGGGCAUGUGCACGUCUCGCUUUUCGUCGACCUUUCUCUCUCAUACACACACCUGUGCACCCAUUGUAGGCCCUCGAAAGAGGAUCUAUGUUUUUCACAUCACACUCGUCGUAUGUCUACAGAAUGUUAUUGAGAACGUCGACCUGUUUGACAGGCCGGCGGUCGAAUAUAUAAAAUCAUA